UUCAUAUAGUAGUAUGGAAUAGCUCUGUUAUAUUUUCCAUUGGCAAACUCUCACUAAUAACUUCAGAUCGUAGUACAGUUCUUCUUUGGGGUCUUCUAAUGUAACAGAGCAGUACUUCUCCAAUAUGAGAACCAGUGAUCACACUGCAACCUUUCAACUCUAUCUCUCUCCAUUUGGAUCACAUUUAUUUGCAUACUGUGUCAGUCUAAUAGGUAUUUCAUCAUUAUCAAAAAAGCCCAGCGAAGAGUGGUUGAUGUUGUCUCCAUUCCAGCACCAAACAAAUUCGAUACAAGAUUAACUAGAUUUUCAUUGUGGAAAUAUAAUCCAGGAGUAGGUUUUUCCUGAAAUUUAUAGUUAAGAAGGUUUUGUAAUUUUUUUUAGACAUAAUCAACAAGCAACAUAACGUUAAAAACAAAACAACAUAACAAACACAAUGGUAGUACCUGUAUAUUUUCAUCCUGUAAUAGUCACCAAAUUAUAUAUUUAUCUAAUAGUGGUUAUUUAAUUAAAGCUAGGUGUUUUGUAACAUUCAUUAAAGGAACAUGAAGUCCUUA